GCCUGGGUGGCUCAGUCAGUUAAGUGUCUGACUUCAGCUCAGGUCAUGAUCUCACGGUUCGUGGGUUCGAGCCCCGCAUCAGGCU
rnacentral:tRNA from 1 species